GAGUUUGAUCCUGGCUCAGAUUGAACGCUGGCGGCGUGCUUAACACAUGCAAGUCGAACGAGAAAGGGACUUCGGUCCUGAGUAGAGUGGCGCACGGGUGAGUAACGCGUAGGUAAUCUACCUCUGCAUCUGGGAUAACACUUCGAAAGGGGUGCUAAUACCGGAUACACUUAUGGACCGCAAGGUCUAUAAGGAAAGGAGACGAUCCGCAAGGAGUUUCUGUGUAGAGAUGAGCCUGCGUCCCAUUAGCUAGUUGGUAGGGUAAAGGCCUACCAAGGCGACGAUGGUUAGCUGGUCUGAGAGGAUGAUCAGCCACACUGGAACUGAGACACGGUCCAGACUCCUACGGGAGGUAGCAGUGGGGAAUUUUGCGCAAUGGGCGAGAGCCUGACGCAGCAACGCCGCGUGAGUGAUGAAGGCUUUCGGGUCGUAGAGCUCUGUCGAGGGGAAAGAAGUGUACUUUGGCUAAUAUCCAUUGUACUUGACGGUACCCCUAAAGGAAGCACCGGCUAACUCCGUGCCAGCAGCCGCGGUAAUAC
rnacentral:rRNA from 1 species